GAUGAAGAACGCAGCAAAAUGCGAUAAGUAAUGUGAAUUGCAGAAUUCAGUGAAUCAUCGAAUCUUUGAACGCACAUUGCGCCCUUUGGUAUUCCAAAGGGCAUGCCUGUUCGAGCGUCAUUUGUACCCUCAAGCUUUGCUUGGUGUUGGGCGUCUUGUCUCUAGCUUUGCUGGAGACUCGCCUUAAAGUAAUUGGCAGCCGGCCUACUGGUUUCGGAGCGCAGCACAAGUCGCACUCUCUAUCAGCAAAGGUCUAGCAUCCAUUAAGCCUUUUUUUCAACUUUUGACCUCGGAUCAGGUAGGGAUACCCGCUGAACUUAAGCAUACAAUAAGCGGAGGA
rnacentral:misc_RNA from 1 species